AGACGGAGUCUUUCUCUGUCUUCUAAGCUGGAGUGCGGUGGUGUGAUCUCAGCUCACUGCAAUCUCUGCCUCCCAGGUUCAAGCGAUUCUCCUUCCUCAGCCUCCUGAGUAGCUGGGAUUUUAGGCACCCGCCACCACACCCGGCUAAUUAUUGUAUUUUUAUUAGAGACAAGGUUUCACCAUGCUGGCCAGGCUGGUCUUGAACUCCUGACCUCAUGAUCCAUCCGCCUUGGCCUCCCAAAAGUGCUGGGAUUACAGGCCUGAGCCACCACGCCCUGCUGGUUUAUUUUAUUUUUUGGCAUGAAUACCACAGCUGGGAUGUCAUCUUCUCAAUGCAUAGUGGAGAUAUGCAAUGUCAGUCUGUCCAACUCCUGGUCCUGUUAGUUCAGGUGGUGGCAGCGGCUGCCGGGGCUUCUCCCCUACAUAGUUACUGUUUUCCCUUUGUCAUCCAUAAAUACCUUGGGGAGAUACUUCCAGACUAAGUGAAUGUCUGUUUCACUUCCAAGUUUUACCCACUUUUUUUUUUUUUUUUGAGAUGGAGUCUCACUUUUGCCGAGGCUGUAGUGCAAUGGCGCCAUCUCAGCUCACUGCAACCUCCGCCUCCCAGGUUCAAGCAAUUCCCCCGUCUCAGCCUCCCAAGUAGCUGGGAUUACAGGCACGCGCCACCAUGCCCAGGUAAUUUUUUUUAUUUUUAGUAGAGACGGGGUUUCACCGUGUUGCCCAGGCUGGUCUCCAACUCCUGAGCUCAGGCAGUCCACCUGCCUCAGCCUCCCAAGGUGCUAGGAUUACAGGCGUGAGCCACCGUGCCCGGCCUACCCACUAAUUAAUUUCAGCAUCCACUGGUGGGUCUUGCAAUGCAGUAAUUAUUAACUUAGUUUUCAAAGGUGAUUUUUGCAUUUUCCUCAUUCCUUUGACGUUUAUUAAUUGGAAUUCAUCUCUAAGAAAGAGCAGUCCCUUCAGCUUUUUUCCCUUUUUUUUUUUUGAGACAGGGUCUUGCUCUGCGGCUCAGGCUGCAGUGCAGUGGCUCGAUCACGGCUCACUGCAGCCUCGACCUCCCGGGCUCACGUGAUCUCCCAUCUCAGCCUCCUGAGUAACCAGAACCACAGGUGCUCACCACCAUGCCCAGCUGACUUUUUGUAUUUUUUGUAGAGAUGGGGUUUACCCAUGUUGCUCAGGCUGGUCUCAAAUUUUCGAGCUCAAGUGAUCCGCCCGCCUUGGCCUCCCAAAAGGCAUGAGCCACUGCGCCUGACCUACGAUUUCUUUCUUUAUAUAUCAGUAUGAACGCAAGGGCUGUUUGUUGGAUUCUGUGAGUCAUAAUCUGAUACUGUUUCCACGCUUUGGCCAUUGGGAGCUCCUGGAGAUUGUCUCCUGUGCCCUAUCCUUAUUUAAGCACUUGUUUAUUUUGGGAUGUCUUCAGUUUUCCUUGUCCCAGCUCUGCACCCAGCUGCUUCUCCAGGGAGCCCUCCCUCACUGGAGACUGGGAUUUAGCAACCAAGACCUGGGCACUGGCUGUGCUUGUUGCUUCUGGGCCCUCCUGGGACAGAGCUGGGAAGUGGAUCUAUGACACGUGCUUGUGCAUUUACCCGCCCUGUUGGUUUCUGUAGCUGUCUAGUUCCUGCUGUUCCUGUCUCACCUGCCCCUUUCCUUAUGUGUAGUUUCUUCCUGUGACAGGGAGAAACCUGGCUCUCAGAUUGACAGGACAUUCGCUUAGGCCAUGUCAGUGCUGUAGGUGAACUGUUCAACCUGUGCCCCAGGGAGGCGCAGUCACUAUGGAGGCACCUUACUUCCUUAAUCGUGUACUGUUGUUUUUGUGUUUGACCUGUAGCAUCUAAGUACUGGUUUCAAAAGUUGCCUAGAUGAGUUCUUUUCUUUCUUUCCACCUCCUGCAAAUUAUGUGAUUUGCAUAAUUUGUACAUAGUUAGGUUCAUUUGUUAGUUUGUAUUCCUUUUGGCUUCCCCCAUAUCCUCGUUGACUUUUUCUUUCUUUUGUAACUUACAUAUGUUAUGAAAUUUAUAUGAGGAUAUAUAAUUUUCAUA
rnacentral:lncRNA from 1 species